CCACCCCGGCCGGAGGGCCGCGUGCAUUUAUCAGACCAAAAACCGGCCGCGUCUUCGGGCGCGUUCGCCUUGGUGACUCUGGAUAACUUUGCGGAUCGCACGGUCUAGCACCGGCGACGGAUCAUUCAAGUGUCUGCCCUAUCAACUUUCGUCGUUACGGUAUUUGCCUACCGAGGUUCUUACGGGUGACGGGGAAUCAGGGUUCGAUUCCGGAGAGGGAGCCUGAGAAACGGCUACCACAUCCAAGGAAGGCAGCAGGCGCGCAAAUUACCCAUUCCCGACGCGGGGAGGUAGUGACGAAAAAUAACAAUGCAGGACUCGUUCGAGGCCCUGUAAUUGGAAUGAGUACACUUUAAAAGCUUUAACGAGUAUCCAUUGGAGGGCAAGUCUGGUGCCAGCAGCCGCGGUAAUUCCAGCUCCAAAAGUAUAUAUUUAAGUUGUUGCGGUUAAAAAGCUCGUAGUUGGAUUUUGGGCGCAGGCGGCCGGUCCGUCGCAAGGCGUGUACUGGACGUCCUGGCCUUCCCUCCGGUUCUCCGCCGGUGCUCUUGACUGAGUGUCGGCGGCGGCCGGAACGUUUACUUUGAAAAAAUUAGAGUGUUCAAAGCAGGCUCUCGAGCCUGGAUAAUGGUGCAUGGAAUAAUGGAAUAGGACCUCGGUUCUAUUUUGUUGGUUUUCGGAGCGCGAGGUAAUGAUUAAGAGGGACAGACGGGGGCAUUCGUACUGUGCCGUUAGAGGUGAAAUUCUUGGAUCGGCGCAAGACGAACGACUGCGAAAGCAUUUGCCAAGAAUGUUUUCUUUAAUCAAGAGCGAAAGUCAGAGGUUCGAAGACGAUC
rnacentral:ncRNA from 1 species